rnacentral:rRNA from 1 species
AGCAGCCGCGGUAAUUCCAGCUCCAAUAGCGUAUAUUAAAGUUGUUGCAGUUAAAAAGCUCGUAGUUGAAUUUCGGGGUUAGUAAGUUGGUCAUGCCUUUGGUAUGCACUGGCUUUACUGAUUCCUCCUUCUUGACGAACCGUGAUGUCAUUAAUUUGGUGUUGCGGGAAAUCAGGACUGUUACUUUGAAAAAAUUAGAGUGUUUAAAGCAGGCUAACGCUUGAAUACAUUAGCAUGGAAUAAUGAAAUAGGACGUUAAUCCUAUUUUGUUGGUUUCUAGGAUCGACGUAAUGAUUAAUAGGGAUAGUUGGGGGCAUUAGUAUUCAAUUGUCAGAGGUGAAAUUCUUGGAUUUAUUGAAGACUAACUACUGCGAAAGCAUUUGCCAAGGAUGUUUUCAUUAAUCAAGAACGAAAGUUAGGGGAUCGAAGACGAUCAGAUACCGUCGUAGUCUUAACCAUAAACUAUGCCGACUAGGGAUCGGAUGAUGUUAAUUUUUUAAUGACUCAUUCGGCGCCUUAC